UCAGGGUAACGUCUAGUUUCCCUUCCUCAGCUGCAAGCCGGAAAAGUAUACCAGCCGCCCGCCCGCCCUAGCUAUGAAUGUGGUCAUGCUGCUGACCUUUCUCUGGCCCCACACAGCAUUGCAUUCAGCGUUUCAGCCCGCUGACAGCACAGUGAUGGAUGGAAGCAGGACGGUGAGAGGAUCGGAGUAAUUAUUGACAGUCAGGAGGAGGAAGAGGAAGAGGAAGAGGAGAAGCCCUCUCCCCAACUUGGCCCUACACUGUCACAGGCCGUGGCGGAGGAGGAGGAGUACUCCCUGUCCCCCACCACACUGCACCCAUCAAGAGAGUGCAACAAAUUGUGGAGGAACUAACUCUUGAGGAUGAUGAGCGUACUGCUUUGCAAAUAAAACGAAUUCUCCAUUCCAAGUAUGACCUGGACAUAUCGGCCACCAGCAUCAGAAGGAUGCGACGGAAAAUGGGAUGGACCUUUGGCGCAACAAGGAUAUCUCCAAUGAUAAGAGAUGUGAAUAAAGAAAAGAGAGUGGAACAGGCACGGCGAUGGAUUGAGAGUGAUGAAACAUUUGAUGAUGUCAUUUUCACAGAUGAAUCGUCUGUUGCCCUUGAGCGGUUCUCCAGAAUGUCAUUCUGGAAACGUAACCAUAUCUCAUUAAAACCACGCCCAAAGCAUCCAUUGAAAGUCCAUGUAUGGGGAGGCAUAUCACGAUUAGGAGCUGGUCCCCUAUUA